UACAGAGGUGGCAAGCGUUGUUCGGAAUUACUGGGCGUAAAGGGCGCGUAGGCGGCCAACUAAGUCAGACGUGAAAUCCCCAGGCUCAACCUGGGAACUGCGUCUGAUACUGGAUGGCUCGAGUUCGGGAGAGGGAAGUGGAAUUCCAGGUGUAGCGGUGAAAUGCGUAGAUAUCUGGAGGAACACCGGUGGCGAAGGCGGCUUCCUGGACCGACACUGACGCUGAGGCGCGAAAGCCAGGGGAGCAAACAGG
rnacentral:rRNA from 1 species